AAUCUGCCAGCUGAGGAGGUGUUCCUGGAUCCCUUGAUGCCCGUGAGGAUGUGCAGAGAGGUUUCAGGUCAGUCUCCUCACUACACCCUGGAGUGCCAUUCGUAGUCUCAGCCUCCACGACUGCUGCAGUGUGUUAUAGUCCUUCCAGCCAGGAAUUCGGCCUGCUACAACUCGGAGAAAAUCAUCAGCAGACAGCGUGGCUGCAGCUGGUGUGGUGGAAGGGGUCGGGUGGCAGCAGAGGAUCUGGCUGAGCACUGAGCUGCAGUUGCAGCUUGUGGUCUGCAGUGAGCUAUGGAGAUGUGAAGCAAUCGCAUUGCAGAAAGCAAGAGAGAUGCCAGCUCCACAAUCCAAGCAUUGACAAGGAAAAACUACAUCACUCACUGGGUUAGAUGAUUUUAUAGCAUCACAAGGCAAUCAGAGAGGUGGGUCUC
rnacentral:lncRNA from 1 species